rnacentral:rRNA from 1 species
GACGAACGCUGGCGGCGUGCUUAACACAUGCAAGUCGAACGGAAAGGCCCUGCUUUUGUGGGGUGCUCGAGUGGCGAACGGGUGAGUAACACGUGAGUAACCUGCCCUUGACUUUGGGAUAACUUCAGGAAACUGGGGCUAAUAUCGGAUAGGAGCUCCUGCUGCAUGGUGGGGGUUGGAAAGUUUCGGCGGUUGGGGAUGGACUCGCGGCUUAUCAGCUUGUUGGUGGGGUAGUGGCUUACCAAGGCUUUGACGGGUAGCCGGCCUGAGAGGGUGACCGGCCACAUUGGGACUGAGAUACGGCCCAGACUCCUACGGGAGGCAGCAGUGGGGAAUAUUGCACAAUGGGCGGAAGCCUGAUGCAGCAACGCCGCGUGCGGGAUGACGGCCUUCGGGUUGUAAACCGCUUUCGCCUGUGACGAAGCGUGAGUGACGGUAAUGGGUAAAGAAGCACCGGCUAACUACGUA